AAACCAGCACCUCAAGUGGUCAGGAGGAUUAUUGGGCCUAAAGCAUCCGUAGCCUGUUCUGUAAGUUUUCGGUUAAAUCCAUUAGCUCAACUAAUGGGCCGCCGAAAAUACUGUAGAACUAGGGAGUGGGAGAGGUAGACGGUAUUCGGUAGGAAGGGGUAAAAUCCUUUGAUCUAUUGAGGACCACCUGUGGCGAAGGCGGUCUACCAGAACACGUUCGACGGUGAGGGAUGAAAGCUGGGGGAGCAAACCGGAUUAGAAACCCGAGUAGUCC
rnacentral:rRNA from 1 species